CCAUUCUGCAGAAGGAAACAAAACCAAGAACAUUUAGAGAUGUUGCUACCCUACUGUAAUAAAGGAAACUGUUUCAAUGAGAUCAUGUUAUGCUUCCAAAACUCACAGGAAAGGCUACAGUCCAGAGGACAUCAAAUCUUACUACAGAACUUUAAGAAUUUGAUUCCCAUUGCUUUAAUCCUGGAAGCACCACUUGAAUUUUAUUCACAUUACACUUUGCCAUGCCCUAGAGGAAAGAGGCUAAAUGCAAGUAUUUCUUACCUUAUUUUUUUCUGAAGAUGCUUUAUCAUGAAUGGUGACAUAUCAAAAACUAGUAUUGUGAAUUGAUGGUAUGUUUAAUAUGAUUAGUUAUCAACAUGUUAGUGAGUGCCAUCAGCUUACAGAAAGUAUAGCAGCAACUACCUACAGCUUCAUCAUUUCCAAUCAAAAUCAAAAUAUGAUUUCAAUUUUGAGUGCUAGAAAAAGGAAACUUUUUUUUUCACAUUUGAAUGCACAAGAAUCAUCAAUAGAACCUCUAUAAAAUCAUGUUACAACUGUGGCAGCCACUCUUAACAGGUUUGGCAGCAUUGCAAAACAUCCCACUUCUGAAUGUAUCUACUGUGCCAAUGUCCAACAUUUCCUAUGUUCCUAUGGUAUUCUUGAGUGUACUGCCUUAGCAGGUCUCUUGCAGGAUGUAUUAUUUGGCCAGGGACUCAAUUAAAUGUUUAAUUUAAAUUCAUUAAGAAAAGUCUUUUUUGUCCCAGUCAAGCAUCCUGUGCUGUUAAUGUCAGAAUGCAGUAGUGAAUCCUGGUCUCUCGAUGGCCACAGUGGUACAACCCCAAAUGUUGUAAAUACUGCUUGCUUGGUUUUUACUAUAGCUUCUCCCCAGCAUUAUCCAAGUUAACUUAGAGGACACCUUGGUCGUAGUGGUUUUACAAAAGAAAGGAUGUAUUUCAGGUGUGGAACAAAAAGAAAGGGCUCAGAAGCAGCUCCUGGAAAGACGAGUUAAUAAAAGCUGUGCCUUUACACCGACUGGCAUAUUAAUCAUGAGCAGAUUGUCAGUAUACAGACAGCCACCCUAACUGGAGUCCUCAUGGAAAAACAAAUCUACUGAAGCACUCUCUAGACUCCAUCAUUGUUUCUCUGGAAAAGCUUACCUACCACUCUUAGUUUUAAAUAAGUUUGUUUUGGACUUCCAA